rnacentral:rRNA from 1 species
AUGGUCUCAUAUUCUAUUCUGCUUCACAGGUAUGCUACAGAAGGAUGCUUUGCUGAUAUGAUUAAUCUCUUUAAUUUUAUGGCAAGCAAUGGUAUUACACCCAAUCGCCAGAUUUUCAACAUUUUAGUUGAUGCAUAUACUAAACGUGGAAUGGUGGACGAAGCUAUGCUCAUAUUUACUGAAAUGCAAGGACAGGGGGUGAGUCCGGAUGUAGUCCCCUAUGCAAUUGUAAUAGCUGCAUUUUGUAGAACGGGUAGGAUGGAUGAUGCCAUGGAUAAAGUCAAUCAGAUGAUUGGUAAGGGAGUACAAUCAAACACAGUUGUUUAUCAUUUCCUAAUUCAGGGUUUUUGUACGCAUGGUGAUUUGGGGAAAGUGAAGGAGUUGGUUUUUGAAAUGACAAACAAAGGUAUUCCUCCUCCUAACUUUGUGUUCUUCAGUUCAAUAAUAAGUAGUCUA